rnacentral:rRNA from 1 species
UUCGCAAUGCCCGAAAGGGUGACGAAGCGACGCCGCGUGCGGGAAGAAGGCCUUCGGGUUGUAAACCGCUGUCGGGAGUUAAGAAAUGCAAGGAUGUUAAUAGCGUCUUUGCUUGACUAAGGCUCCGGAGGAAGCCACGGCUAACUCUGUGCCAGCAGCCGCGGUAAUACAGAGGCGGCAAGCGUUGUUCGGAAUUAUUGGGCGUAAGGAGCACGUAGGCGGCUGUGUAAGUCGGUUGUGAAAGCCUUCCGCUCAACGGAAGAACGGCAUCCGAUACUGCAUGGCUUGAGUGCGGGAGGGGAGAGUGGAACUUCUGGUGGAGCGGUGAAAUGCGUAGAUAUCAGAAGGAACACCGGCGGCGAAGGCGACUCUCUGGCCCGUAACUGACGCUGAGUGUGCGAAAGCUAGGGGAGCAAACGGGAUUAGAUACCCCGGUAGUCCUAGCCGUAAACGAUGGGCACUAAGUAGAGGGGUUUU